rnacentral:rRNA from 1 species
GACGAACGCUGGCGGCGUGCUUAACACAUGCAAGUCGAACGGAAAGGCCCUGCUUUUGUGGGGUGCUCGAGUGGCGAACGGGUGAGUAACACGUGAGUAACCUGCCCUUGACUUUGGGAUAACUUCAGGAAACUGGGGCUAAUACCGGAUAGGAGCUCCUGCUGCAUGGUGGGGGUUGGAAAGUUUCGGCGGUUGGGGAUGGACUCGCGGCUUAUCAGCUUGUUGGUGGGGUAGUGGCUUACCAAGGCUUUGACGGGUAGCCGGCCUGAGAGGGUGACCGGCCACAUUGGGACUGAGAUACGGCCCAGACUCCUACGGGAGGCAGCAGGGGGGAAUAUUGCACAAGGGGCGGAAGCCUAAUGCAGCAACGCGGCGUGCGGGAUGACGGCCUUCGGGUUGUAAACCGUUUUCGCCUGUGACGAAGCGUGAGUGACGGUAAUGGGUAAAGAAGCACCGGCUAACUACGUG